CGUGGGAACAAGAGAGCAGUUCGCCAGCCUCAUCGAGCUGCACAUACUCCGGCCGCUCAGACUGGUGGAGUUUCUGCGGUCACCCUGACAACCAGUCUUCUGAAAUAAACCUGUCAUGGAACGCAGAGCGGAUUUCUGCGGCUUCGUUGGACCACACAUACUCGUGCACCGUAUUAAAGAAUAG